GCCCCGGUAAACGGCGGCCGUAACUAUAACGGUCCUAAGGUAGCGAAAUUCCUUGUCGGGUAAGUUCCGACCUGCACGAAUGGCGUAAUGAUGGCCAGGCUGUCUCCACCCGAGACUCAGUGAAAUUGAACUCGCUGUGAAGAUGCAGUGUACCCGCGGCAAGACGGAAAGACCCCGUGAACCUUUACUAUAGCUUGACACUGAACAUUGAGCCUUGAUGUGUAGGAUAGGUGGGAGGCUUUGAAGUGUGGACGCCAGUCUGCAUGGAGCCGACCUUGAAAUACCACCCUUUAAUGUUUGAUGUUCUAACGUUGGCCCGUAAUCCGGGUUGCGGACAGUGUCUGGUGGGUAGUUUGACUGGGGCGGUCUCCUCCUAAAGAGUAACGGAGGAGCACGAAGGUUGGCUAAUCCUGGUCGGACAUCAGGAGGUUAGUGCAAUGGCAUAAGCCAGCUUGACUGCGAGCGUGACGGCGCGAGCAGGUGCGAAAGCAGGUCAUAGUGAUCCGGUGGUUCUGAAUGGAAGGGCCAUCGCUCAACGGAUAAAAGGUACUCCGGGGAUAACAGGCUGAUACCGCCCAAGAGUUCAUAUCGACGGCGGUGUUUGGCACCUCGAUGUCGGCUCAUCACAUCCUGGGGCUGAAGUAGGUCCCAAGGGUAUGGCUGUUCGCCAUUUAAAGUGGUACGCGAGCUGGGUUUAGAACGUCGUGAGACAGUUCGGUCCCUAUCUGCCGUGGGCGCUGGAGAACUGAGGGGGGCUGCUCCUAGUACGAGAGGACCGGAGUGGACGCAUCACUGGUGUUCGGGUUGUCAUGCCAAUGGCACUGCCCGGUAGCUAAAUGCGGAAGAGAUAAGUGCUGAAAGCAUCUAAGCACGAAACUUGCCCCGAGAUGAGUUCUCCCUGACUCCUUGAGAGUCCUGAAGGAACGUUGAAGACGACGACGUUGAUAGGCCGGGUGUGUAAGCGCAGCGAUGCGUUGAGCUAACCGGUACUAAUGA
rnacentral:rRNA from 1 species